rnacentral:lncRNA from 1 species
AAGUCCAAAGCUAGGCCGUCUAAUUCUAAAUCCCCUGUGCUUUCCACUAUACUGUGUUGCCUCUCCAUCUAAAUAGCUUUCUAGAUUUAGGGAUUUGAUAGGUGCUAAAGAUGUACCAUUACAAGCACGUCUCUUCCCCCUUCACAGUCUAACACAGAGAUCUGAAGAUGUCACUCUCUUAAUGUCCUUUUUUAAAGUUUUAGACACCCAGGGGUGUAGUUACAAUGGUUUAGUGCAAUCAGUCAUUUUAUAAUGGACUUGAAAGGACCUUAACAAUUAUUCCAAAACAACUCUUUCAUUUUGAGGCAGGUCGGGCAGAAAAUAAAGCAAAUUAUCUGCUUAAGGUCAAAUAUCUAGUAAAUAGAAGAACCAAGACUUGAAUUGUGUUCUUCUUCUGUCUGAUGGUCUUGCCCCCAGACUCAGUAGCCCCUAUCACUCUUAGGGAAAGACUCUUGAAGAAUAGAGCCUAGAACAUUUGACUUGGAAAAGGUAUAACAUUUCACAGUUAUAGAUGCUUUAUUUCUUUUAAAGGGAAAUAAUGAUAUCAGUAGAGUGACUUAGCCUCCUUGUCUGGUCAUUCUCUGAGAAGUUUCUGUUUUCAGUUCAGAGAAGAAUAGCUAUGCCUGAACAGGAAAGUUUGUCAUAUAUAUGAGAAUGUGAGAGAUUGAGCCAUACCUUCUUCCAGGAAGUAAUUACUUCUCAACACAGUGCUAAACAACAUAGCAGCAGGAUCAGGUGUUGAAAUUUAAAUGCACUCAAGGGAUUUUUAAGUGGGACAAAGCCACCCUGUUUCUUACAUUCCAGUUGUGAUUAUUUCAAAGUCUUUCUGAGAAUUGUGGGACCUGUCAUGAAAAAGAUGAAGUUGACUGGAGAUUCCUUCCAUUUAGCCUUCAGUCAUUCAGGUAUUGGAGUCAGAUUCUGCAUCCAAGACCUAAUUUGGUGGAAGCAUCACUGUGGCCUAGAGUGGAUCACUAAUGCACUCAUGUUUUUAUGCGUAAACAGAAGCAAAGUCAAGGUUAGAAAGAAAAUCUCUCCUAUUACCCCUAACUUGGUAUUCUUUGGACUCGUGUGUGUGUGUGUGUGUGUGUGUGAUUUUCUUCCUGACAGUGUUCAAUUACAAAUCUCUGACAAAACAGUUAACAAAAGGUACCCUAGUAUAAUGUGAUGCUAAGAGCAGAGUCUUUGAAAUAAGAUCUGGGCUUGGAUACUGGAUAGAAUACUGUGACCUUGAACAAAUAGAUGAAGUUCUCAGAGUGCCUGAAGAACUAUGGAUGGAGGUUCAUAACACUGAAUAGGAGGCAGAGUUCAAAACCAUCCCCAAGAAAAAGAAAUGCAAAAAGGCAAAAUGGUUGUUGAAGGAGGCCUUACAAACAUCUGAGGAAAGAAGAUAAGUGAAAGGCAAAGGAGAAAAGGAAAGAUAUAUCCAUCUGAAUGCAGAGUUCCAGAGAAUAGCAAGGAAAGGUAAGAAAGCCUUCUUAGUGAACAAUACAAAAAAAAAAAAAAAAUAGAGGAAAACAAUAGAAUGGGAAAGAUUAGAGAUCUCUUUAAGAAAAUUAGAGCUUCUGAACAACAACAAAUGUAUCUACAUAACUUUUUGAACAUACUAAAUUCAGUUAUACAGGUUUCAAUGUCCUUCUCUGCUAAUUCUAGCAUUGGUGUCAUUUCUGAGUCAGUUUCAGUUGUCUCUUCUCCUCAUUAUGGAUCGUGUUUCCUUGCCUCUUGACAUGGCUAUUAAUCUUUGAUUUGAUGCCAGACAUUGUGAUUUCACCUUGAUGACUGCUGGAUAUUGUUGUAUCUCUAUAAAUAUUCCUGAGCCUUUUCCUAUGAUGCAGUUAAUUUACCCGGGAAUAUUUUUAUCUAUUUGGGUCUUGCUUUGAUGAUUUUGUUGGGUAGAUCUGGAGAAGUGUUCAGUCUAGGGCUACUAAUUUCCCACUACUGAAGAAUGACCCUUCUGUAUACCCUGCCCAGUGCUCAUGAGUUAUGAGUUUUUCCAGUCUGGAUAGUGGAGAUAGGGAUUAUUUCCAACACUGUGUAAGCACGAGACAGUUUUUCUAAUUUUUUUCAGAUGGUUCUUUUCCAGACUUGGUUAGUUUCCUCAUACAUGUACCAGUAAUUACUGUGCUGAAUACUUAAUGAUGGUCCUUUGCCGAUCUCCAGUGCUUUCUCUCCAGCUCUCUCCUCCCUAGUGGUCUAUCCUAUGGACUCUAGGGCUGUAUUACUGUCAUAAGACUUACAGCUAUACAUGUUUAACCAAAGAAGUUUACUGCCUUUGCCUCAGUUCCCAUUCUCUAUGCCAUAGUUCAGAAAAUAUCUGAAGAUAGUAAGUUGGGGGCAAUUAUAGGGCUCAGCUUAUACGUUUCCUAUCCUAGUUAUCACUGCCCUUCACUGAUUGAUAACCAGUGUUUCAAAAACCGUUUCAUGGAUUUUGUCUGGUUUUGUUUUUAUGAUUGUUUUAAGUGAGAAGGUAAAUCCCAUCCUUAUUAUUCUAUCUUGGCUGAAAAAUUCCAAAUGAACUUUCUCAUCUGGGAAAUGGAAAUAAUAGAGGUACCUAUGGCAGUGAGUAUUUGUAGAGAUUAAAUGAGAUAAUACACGUGAGACUUUCUCAUAGUAGCUGCUCAAUAAAUAUGUAUUCUUUCCUUCUCCUUCCUUAUAUGCUAACAUACUUCUCCACACCAUUACCACAGGGGACUGCUCCUUUUAAUGGCCCUCAAGGAUGACAGGGGCUGUUUGAUCAGUGUCUGUAACCAGUAGACUUUGGAGACAGGAAAAAAAAGAAUCACACUUGAGCUAUCUUAAGAAAACAGGUUGAAGUAAGUAGGUUCAUAUUUCCUCCAGUGCUAAGAGUAGGUAAAAACAAGUUAACUCUAUCACCACUUCCAAAGGAUAGUCAUUUUUUGUUAGAUACUUCUCUUUCAGAGCUUCAGAAUUGAAAGAGAGAGAUGAAAGCAUGCUAAUAAAAUCAACAAAUAUCUAAGUAAAAAAAAAAAAAAGAAAGAAAGAGAGAGAUGGAAAGGGAGGGAGAGUGAAAGAGAAAGAGAGAAUGUUCAUCAUUAUAACACAGAUAGACCUAUAAAGGUUAGGGUUAAAUUUGAUACUCAGUGUACUUUGGGACAAUUGGUAUUUAUUUUCAUAACUUACUUAAGUCUACGGAUAACUUAUAGAUAGUCCUCUAUGCCUUCUCCAGGAAACAACAUACUUUAAAGUGAGGAAGUGCCACACCCUCUUAGAAAACCAGAGAGAAAGAUUGAAGAAGGUUCAGAUGGAAAAGGAGGGCAGACACUCAAGGAUGAUGCAGGCCAAGAAGUGAGUUACAGCUAGUAUACAGUGUUCAAAUAUAAUACAGAGUAUAACUUAACCUUUGAAAAAGGAAAAAUCUUUCUGAAGGUUGAGUCAACUUAUACUGUACAUCUUUCCCAUGCACAUUUUAUUUAUUUUUUAAAAUUUUAAUGUAUUUAUUUUUUAAUUUAAAUUUAUUUAUUUUAAUUGGAGGCUAAUUACUUUACAAUACUGUAUUGGUUUUGCCAUACAUCAACAUGAAUCUGCCACGGGUAUACACAUGUUCCCCACCCUGAACCCCCCUCCCACCUCCCUCCCCAUACCAUCCCUCUGGGUCAUCCCAGUGCACCAGUCCCAAGCAUCCUGUAUCCUGCAUCGAACCUGGACUGGCGAUUCGUUUCUUAUAUGAUAUUAUACAUGUUUCAAUGCCAUUCUCCCAAAUCAUCCUACCCUCUCCCUCUCCCACAGAGUCCAUAAGACUGUUCUAUACAUCUGUGUCUCUUUUGCUGUCUCGCAUACAGGGUUAUCGUUACCAUCUUUCUAAAUUCCAAAUAUAUGCAUUAGUAUACUGUAUUGGUGUUUUUCUUUCUGACUUACUUCACUGUGUAAUAGGCUCCAGUUUCAUCCACCUCAUUAGAACUGAUUCAAAUUUAUUCCUUUCAAUGGCUGAGUAAUACUCCAUUGUGUAUAUGUACCACAGCUUUCUUAUCCAUUCACCUGCUGAUGGGCAUCUAGGUUGCUUGCAUGUCCUGGCUAUUAUAAACAGUGUUGAGAUGAACAUUGGGGUACACGUGUCUCUUUCAAUUCUGGUUUCCUCGAUGUGUAUGCCCAGCAGUGGGAUUGCUGGGUCAUAAGGCAGUUCUAUUUCCAGUUUUUUAAGGAAUCUCACACUGUUCUCCAUAGUGGCUGUACUAGUUUGCAUUCCACCAACAGUGUAGGAGGGUUCCUUUUCUCCACACCUCUCCAGCAUUUAUUGCUUGUACACUUCUGGAUAGCAGCCACUCUGACUGGCAUGAAAUGGUACCUCAUUGUGGUUUUGAUUUGCAUUUCUCUGAUAAUGAGUGCCCAUGCACAUUUUAGAAUGUUGCCAUGGCUGGUCCUGCUGAACAUUCAUUUGUUUGAACAAUCCUUUCAUUCAAUUGUUUAUUCAAUUAGCAACUAUCUAUUCAACAUCUACUAUGUACAUAGUAUGUGAAUAAAAUAUGGUAUCUCUCCUCCAAGGACUUUUAUAGUAAAACUGCUACCAAAGGUAAGAAGUGACCCUAAUUGGUGCCCUUAACUUUAACAGAAUCUCGCACUGCCAAUCCACCAUGGAAGUUGGGGAAGGAAAAUGAAUCUUCUAAAAUUAUGGUUCAUUUUAGCCCUGACCCUGUAGCUUUAAUUCAGUCCUACACACUCACACAUCACAUGCCCCCAAACCAAUAAAGUUAAGUCCUAUUUAUCAACAUUCACAUAGGAACUAACAUGUGUGUCUCUGGACUUGCCUGCCAUUCCAUUCCUGUGCCACUGUUACUGAUUCUUGACUUUGUUUCACAUUUUUUGAUGCUGUUCCUGCCCUUUAGACUUGUCAACCUCAACUGAUCAUUACAUAUCAAGCUUGAGUCUCUAAGGACUUUCGCUUAGUUUACUUACCUCCCUGAAUCUUUUUUAUUCCUGGAGACCUCCAGUAGGGCAACUUAGUCUAGCUCUCCUGUUCAUGACUCCCAUUCUGUCUAGGCUUUUCCUGGUUCCUGGGAAAUCAAAAUAGGGCAUUUAAGAAUUUAGACAUCAGGCAAUAGGGAGUCUCCUCAAGAAGUACUUCAGAGAUUUAGUUCUUCCUUUGACAUGUAUAUAUUAAGCAGCUACUAUGUGCCAGGAACUCUGCUCUGAUAAAGCUACAAUCUAGUGGGGGAGAUCUGUAUUAUUAUUUUUUUUAAAGCACAAACAAAUGUAACAUGACAAGGACCAGAAGAACGAGUAAUGGAACUAGGCCAGUGCUAUGAUGGAGGAAGACAGGCUAGUGACUACUGGAAAUAGGGUAUUAAGAAAAGUCCUCUCUAAAGAAUUGUCACUUAAACAGAUCUGUGGGAUAGAUACCAGCCAGUCAUACAAAGAUGCAUUUGGGGGAAGAGCUUUCUAUGCAGAAGAAAUAGCAAGUAGAAAAAAAAAAAAGUCCUAUAGUGUGUGAGAGGAAAAGAACGGUGGUCAUAGGGUUGGAGAAUGAUGAGCAAGAGAAGAAUGACAAGAGAUACGUUUGGAGAUGUGGGCAGGGACCAGAUCUUUGGUUCAAUUUCAUGACCAUAGCAUGCUGGAAGCUUCCCUUUGUGGCCGGGAUCCAACUCCCUAGAGGGAACCUCAGAUUGGAAGUAAGGAAGCCUGUGUUUUACUAUUAUUCUGUCAUGAAUUUAAGAGUCUAUUUUAAUGAGUAGCUACUCUUUUUUAUAAUUUUAUUUAUUUAUUGGCUGUCCUGGAUCUUCUUUGCUGUGCGGGGUUUUCUCUAGUUGUGGCAAAUGGGGGUUAAUCUAUAUUUGUGGUGUGCUGGCUUCUGUUGUUGUGGAGCAGGGGCUGCAGGGCACACAGGCUUAAUAAUUGCAGCACAUGGGCUCAGUAGUUGCAGUUCCUGGGCUCUGGAGCACAGGCUUAAUAAUUGCAGUGCAUGGGCUUAGCUGCCCUGCUGCAUGUGGGACCUUCCUGGACCAGGGAUCAAACCUGUAUCUCCUACAUUGACAGGCAGAUUCUUU